rnacentral:rRNA from 1 species
UACGAAGGGGGCUAGCGUUGCUCGGAAUCACUGGGCGUAAAGCGCACGUAGGCGGAUUGUUAAGUCAGGGGUGAAAUCCUGGAGCUCAACUCCAGAACUGCCUUUGAUACUGGCGAAUCUUGAGUCCGGGAGAGGUGAGUGGAACUGCGAGUGUAGAGGUGAAAUUCGUAGAUAUUCGGCAAGAACACCAGUGGCGAAGGCGGCUCACUGGCCGUAGUAGUGACGCUGAGGUGCGAAAGCGUGGGGAGCAAACAGG